GACGAACGCUGGCGGCGUGCCUAAUACAUGCAAGUCGAACGCUUCUUUCCUCCCGAGUGCUUGCACUCAAUUGGAAAGAGGAGUGGCGGACGGGUGAGUAACACGUGGGUAACCUACCCAUCAGAGGGGGAUAACACUUGGAAACAGGUGCUAAUACCGCAUAACAGUUUAUGUCGCAUGGCAUAAGAGUGAAAGGCGCUUUCGGGUGUCGCUGAUGGAUGGACCCGCGGUGCAUUAGCUAGUUGGUGAGGUAACGGCUCACCAAGGCCACGAUGCAUAGCCGACCUGAGAGGGUGAUCGGCCACACUGGGACUGAGACACGGCCCAGACUCCUACGGGAGGCAGCAGUAGGGAAUCUUCGGCAAUGGACGAAAGUCUGACCGAGCAACGCCGCGUGAGUGAAGAAGGUGUUCGGAUCGUAAAACUCUGUUGUUAGAGAAGAACAAGGACGUUAGUAACUGAACGUCCCCUGACGGUAUCUAACCAGAAAGCCACGGCUAACUACGUG
rnacentral:rRNA from 1 species